CCUACGGGAGGCAGCAGUAGGGAAUAUUGCUCAAUGGGGGAAACCCUGAAGCAGCAACGCCGCGUGGAGGAUGACGGUUUUCGGAUUGUAAACUCCUUUUGUUAGAGAAGAUAAUGACGGUAUCUAACGAAUAAGCACCGGCUAACUCCGUGCCAGCAGCCGCGGUAAUACGGAGGGUGCAAGCGUUACUCGGAAGCACUGGGCGUAAUGGGCGCGUAGGCGGGAUAGCAAGUCAGAUGUGAAAUCCUAUGGAUUAACCAUAGAACUGCAUUUGAAACUGUUGUUCUAGAGGAGGGGAGAGGGAGGUGGAAUUCUUGGUGUAGGGGUAAAAUCCGUAGAGAUCAAGAUGAAUACUCAGUGCGAAGGCGACCUGCUAGAACCGAACGGACGCUGAUGCGCGAAAGCGUGGGGAGCAAACAGGAUUAGAUACCCUAGUAGUC
rnacentral:rRNA from 1 species